rnacentral:rRNA from 1 species
UACAGAGGUGCCGAGCGUUAGGCGGAAUCACUGGGCUUAAAGCGCGUGUAGGCGGGUCGCUAAGUGUCCGCGUGAAAUCCCACGGCUCAACCGUGGAACGGCCGGGCAUACUGACGACCUUGAGGUGCUCAGGGGCGAGCGGAACGAACGGUGGAGCGGUGAAAUGCGUAGAUAUCGUUCGGAACGCCGACGGUGAAAACAGCUCGCUGGGAGCAUCCUGACGCUGAGAAGCGAAAGCAUGGGGAGCGAACAGG